ACUGACCAUGAAGGGAAAUCUCAGGUUCUUUGGAAGAAUCUGAUAUUUGUUGAGACUCUACUGAGAACCUUAAAUCAUUGCAAUGCAGUGUGCUCACCGGAGACCACAGGUUACAGCACAACGAGGAACUAAAGAUGUGCAACACGGGAGGUUUACAUAAUCAAAAUAAUGGAAGAGAUUCCACUCGAGUUCGGCACAAAAUGAUGGCACAAUAAAGAUGAUUCUGUCCUCAGCUGCAAGGAGAGGCCUGCGAGUCAGAACGCAGUGAGUCAGCAGUCUGCCGCACCCCCCCCAGCCCUCAGGAGGAGGUUCCCCACACCUCCGCAGAUGCUGCAGCCCUUGGGGUCACCAAGAACGCCAGCCCAACCCACUGCUGCACCCGCACCUGCUCCGCCUUCCUCACCACCUGGGUGUCCUACACAUAAUAGAUGUGCAUGAAAAACUGGGGAGGAAAAGCUACCAAAUAUAUUUCCUGUUUUCCAGUGUUUUAUAGUAUUCACACAACAGCAAUAAACAGGACUGCAGUCAUACUGACAGAUACACAGAAAACCAUGGUCUAUUUUAAUAAUACUGAAGGAUUCAAAAUACUGAAAAUAACGGAAAAAAAAACACAUUAUGAAACAUGAACACCUGCCAACCGCUUGGCAUGUUGCCAUGAACUCGUGAAGUUAAAUUAAGAAAGGAUACAAGCUACUUUAAUCCAGCAUGACAGGUGAUUCAGUUCCAGGUAUUCCACCCAUACACUCCUGCACCAAUAAAACCAGACAGACAGCCAGAAGGAAAAAGAAACAAUUUGUAAAGAAAGAGGGUAGGUCAAGGCAAUCUGAAAGGCAUUUAGUUCACCAGAACAAAUGCAAAAUUGGAGCAUACCAAAAAGGAGACCAGACAUUUUUCUAACUUAUGUUUUGGUUCCACCUGAGUGUGAUGUUACUUGAUCUUCUGAGCCAUGUGGGUUCACAGACAGGUAUAUUUACCUCUCACACUCUGUAGAACUGAAGAAUACCCCACGUUGGAAUUCUCUCGUUCCAGUAUUCUUCUGAAUAAGACCUCGGCACUUAGCUCAGAAAGCCUUCAUUGAGUGUGUUUCAUUUGAACCUACCAAGAACUGAGAGGACCUACUGUACAUGCAAGCUUCAUCCUUAGUUCCGGAAAUCACAACUUAACUACACAACAGCAAUCCUAAAAACAAGACAGUGUGUAAACAUUUUACAGCUACAGAUUACCAUACAUUUUCAUUGUCGCUCAAAUAAUUAGCCUGGCCAGCUAAUGUUUAUAAUGCCCAGAACACUGUGAAACUUAGACAAAUAUCUUUAGAGACUGGAAAUUCAAUUCUUGAUUCCUGAAUACCUACCGCACAAAUAUCAUUUCACUUGUAGGUCAUCAGGAAAUUGUUCUUAAUGACUUGCCUGGUUAAAUAAGGAUUAAAUAAAUUAAAUAAAAAAGUGAAAACCCUUCACUCAAAGCAACCUACAAUUCCAAACAUUCAUGCAAAUGGAUACUGUACUGGAGUCAGAAGAGAAGUGCCUUAUUCAAGACUAAUCCGGCAAUGUCACGUCUCGACUAGAACUGGCAAACACCAGAUCGUAAACCCUCCCCAUUCUUAGCUAUAUGCUAUAUGGUGACUUUGUACCUGUUUCAUUUCAUUUCAGUGACACAGAAUUCAAGACUCAAAUUCUCCAAACAUGCUACAGCAUUUGAAAGAAUCUACAUUGUUUCUGUUUCUGACUUUAAUCCUGUUUAUUAUGAUACAUUUUAUACAUUUGCGCAAUUGUAUCUUGGGGAUAUUUACAAUACUGCGUCACACUGCAUUUAUUGCAUGGCUUUUGUGUAUGUGUGAGAUCUGUGGCAUGCAGACACUCCUCUUCUCCAGGAAGGUCUGGAAGUGCCAGAAAAAUGCAUCUCCUCCCCAACUCUCCCGGAAAUUGUGUCUCAACACCCUCACCACCCUAUUCACACAAUUACCAGCAAAUUAUUAAAUCACGCCUCUAUGCUUUUUCAUUGAACAAUUGUUUCAAAGGUGGGGUCUCUGAGCAGACACUCUUCCCUGCUGCAGAAAUAUUAA